rnacentral:rRNA from 1 species
GACGAACGCUGGCGGCGUGCCUAAUACAUGCAAGUUGAGCGCUGAAGGUUGGUACUUGUACCAACUGGAUGAGCAGCGAACGGGUGAGUAACGCGUGGGGAAUCUGCCUUUGAGCGGGGGACAACAUUUGGAAACGAAUGCUAAUACCGCAUAAAAACUUUAAACACAAGUUUUAAGUUUGAAAGAUGCAAUUGCAUCACUCAAAGAUGAUCCCGCGUUGUAUUAGCUAGUUGGUGAGGUAAAGGCUCACCAAGGCGAUGAUACAUAGCCGACCUGAGACGGUGAUCGGCCACAUUGGGACUGAGACACGGCCCAAACUCCUACGGGAGGCAGCAGUAGGGAAUCUUCGGCAAUGGACGAAAGUCUGACCGAGCAACGCCGCGUGAGUGAAGAAGGUUUUCGGAUCGUAAAACUCUGUUGGUAGAGAAGAACGUUGGUGAGAGUGGAAAGCUCAUCAAGUGACGGUAACUACCCAGAAAGGGACGGCUAACUACGUG